CAAUUAGCCGGCAUUUUACAAUUUAUCCUCUCUUACUUUCUCCAUCUUUGUGAUUACCGGAUUAACCAACAGCAAAAGUAUCAAUAUGACAAGAAACUGUAUCAACGUUGAUAGUAGUGAUAUAACAGUUAAAUAUUACCCAGAAGAAGCCUCAUUCUGGAUGUAUGCCAUGAUCAUUGUCGGAGCUGGAUUUGUAUUAUUUCUGGUUGGAACUGUUUAUCUCAUGCUAUCACCGGAUCGAUCACAUUAAUUGCUCCUCUUUGGUGAAUUUUAAUUGUAAUCAAAAAAUGGCCAAAGUUAAUUGUUGGUAAUUGUGGUCAUCUAAAUAUAAAUAAUGUAUAGUGUAUCCAUCCUUUGAUUAUAUUAAAUUGAAUAUUAAUCAUCAAUUUGAUUUAAUUCAAAUGUUAAUUUCAAUUUUAUGUCUCAUCUUAAAUUAACUCCUUUUAUCUUAUUAUUAAUAAACGAAACAUUAAUCAAAUGGUUCACA